GACGAACGCUGGCGGCGUGCUUAACACAUGCAAGUCGAACGGAAAGGCCCCGGCUUGCAGGGGUACUCGAGUGGCGAACGGGUGAGUAACACGUGGGUGAUCUGCCCUGCACUUCGGGAUAAGCCCGGGAAACUGGGUCUAAUACCGGAUAGGACGAUGGGCUGGAUGCUGUUGUGGGAAGAUUUUUCGGGGUGGGAUGUGCUCGCGGCCUAUCAGCUUGUUGGUGGGGUAAUGGCCUACCAAGGCGUCGACGGGUAGCCGGCCUGAGAGGGUGUACGGCCACAUUGGGACUGAGAUACGGCCCAGACUCCUACGGGAGGCAGCAGUGGGGAAUAUUGCACAAUGGGCGGAAGCCUGAUGCAGCGACGCCGCGUGGGGGAUGACGGCCUUCGGGUUGUAAACUCCUUUCGCUAGGGACGAAGCGCAAGUGACGGUACCUGGAGAAGAAGCACCGGCUAACUACGUG
rnacentral:rRNA from 1 species